AUUGAACGCUGGCGGCAGGCCUAACACAUGCAAGUCGAGCGCGAAAGUUCUUCGGAAUGAGUAAAGCGGCGGACGGGUGAGUAAUACAUGGGAAUCUGCCCAGUCGUGGGGGAUAACGUAGGGAAACUUACGCUAAUACCGCAUGCGCCCUUCGGGGGAAAGCCGGGGACCUUCGGGCCUGGCGCGAUUGGAUGAGCCCA
rnacentral:rRNA from 1 species